rnacentral:rRNA from 1 species
UACGGGGGGGGCAAGCGUUGUUCGGAAUUACUGGGCGUAAAGGGCUCGUAGGUGGCCAACUAAGUCAGACGUGAAAUCCCUCGGCUUAACCGGGGAACUGCGUCUGAUACUGGAUGGCUUGAGUUUGGGAGAGGGAUGCGGAAUUCCAGGUGUAGCGGUGAAAUGCGCAGAUAUCAGGAGGAACACCAGUGGCGAAGGCGCCGCUCUGGGCCGUAACUGACGCUGAGAAGCGAAAGCGUGGGUAGCAAACAGG